GAGCGUGGAAUGCCGGUUAUGGAACUUCGGAGCGAGGUGAGUCUCCUUCCUAAUCUUAUAAGAGGGAAUUGUCCCCAUAGGUGAGUUAAUUGGUUAUGUGCUCCUAUUUGUGGGGGCUACGCACGUACGAGGUGACGAGAGUCCGUGCGUAGCUACUAUUAUGCUUAAGUCCGGGUAGUCUAGGGUCCAAAAGAAUGCUUUACCUGUAAUAUUUGCAACCUUGUUGUCAAUUUAAGAAUGCUUAAACACAUAUCAAAUGUAUAAAUAAAUUUCUAAAAGGCUAGACAUCAUUUCUUCACUUUUAAAAGAGAAACUUGCAUUUUCCUGAAUAGUUGCUCCCUGAUGAAUUCUUGAUUGACUGCUUGAAUGUGUUUAUUUAUUUUGGGACGGGCCGAACGCCUCAGUAGAUUAAAUAGAUGCAUAUAUGGUUCGCGUCAUUCGACCCUCUGGCAGUGCACAGUUAAAUAUUAUUGGAUCAGGUCGUACGUCCUCGGCAUGAUUUGCGCUUGCUUGUAAUGUUUGCCUUAGAAACUAUAAAUGUUGAUAUUUGUUCUCCCAAGCCUGAGAUAAGUGUACAAAUAAUAAAAAGGAAAUUUGGAAAUUUCCUAUAAAAGAAAGAAUUGUUUAAUUGCUUUAUUCUAUUGAGUUACAAUCAUGUUUAUAAAAAUCCUUGAUUUAUUAUAUUAUUGGUGUAUCAUUAUUGGACAAAGAGAUUGAUGAUGUAAGGAGCGACCGCUUUUGCGGAGCCGGGACCGCUUCUGCGGUCUCGCUUCUGUGGAAGUUGCGUCGCACCUGCGCCCCUAGCCAAGCCCAACCAUUUUCGCUUUUGUGAUACCAAGGCCGCUUUUGCGGCUCCGCACAUGCGGCCAAAACCUCGCAGGUGCGGUUACUCCAGAUACCAUCUGCUUCAAUUCUUCUUCAAAUUCCAAAUUUGAUCUGUUAACCAUCUGGAAUCCACCCGAGGCCUACAGGACCCUAACCAGUCCCAAAACAUAAUGCGGACCUAUUUGAUGCCUCAAAUCACAUCAAACAAUGUCGAAAUCACGAAUCGCACUCCAAUUCGAGCUUAAAAUAGUUUAGAAUUUCAAACUUCUACUUUUGAUGUCUAAACCUAUCAAAUCACGUCCAAUUGACCUCAAAUAUUGCACACAAGUCAUAUUUGACAUUACGGAACUACUCCAACUUCCGGAAUCGGAAUCCAACCCCGAUAUCAAAAAGUUCACUUCCGAUAAAACUUCUCAAAACCUCCAAAUUUCUAUCUUUAUCCAAAUGACUCCAAAAUGACCUACGGACCUCUAAAUUCACUUUCGAUCGGGCUCCCAAUAUUAGAAUCACCAUACGGAACUAUUCCCAGACUCGGAAUCCCAAACGGACAUCGAUAGCAUUGAAAUGCACUUCAACCCAAAUUUAUGGAAUUCUUCCAAAAAUGCUAACAUCCACAAUAGGUGCCAAAACGCUCUCAGGUCACCCAAAACACGAUCCGGGCAUACGCCCAUCCGAAAUCAUCAUACGAACCUGAUAGAACCUUCAAAAUCCCGAUUUUGAGGUCGUUUACUCAAAAAUCCAAUCUUAGCCAAUUCUUUCAACUUAAAGCUUCUGGAAUGAGGAUUGUUUUCCAAAAAAUUCCAAACUUCCCGAAAUUCAAUUCCGACCAUGCAUACCAGUCAUAAUACCUUAAGUGAAGUUGCCCAUGGCCUUAAACUGCCGAACGACGUGCUAGAGCUCAAUACGACUGGUCGGGUCGUUAUAUUCUCUCCCACUUAAACAUAUGUUCGUCCUCAUUCAAAAGUGCUAAGAACUGCGCUGGAGUUGUCCGAAAUCACUGUUUAGCACCUUGUGCACCUACCCGUGCAUCUACAACCCAGUUGAGCACAUCAGUUCGAUCAAUUCUAAAAAUAUUCCCUUUUAUUCAAGCAAAUACGCUUAGAGCCCCAUUCCAACAUUCGAAAUUCUCCGUCAGGCCUGUUCCAAUGUAUGAAAACCGUAUCAAUCACUACACGAGCUACCAGAGCAUGACUGCAUACCUUUGCUGAAUUCUCACCAUACACCACAUCAAUCAUAGGACCAUAAUAACAUUCUCUGAUUAUAAUAACCAACAUUCCCUAAAUCUGAUUCUCACAACACACCUCAUGAUAUAUAUAAGUCUUGUUCCAACUCUCGCAAUACCGCCACGACAGAAGAGACGUGUAGAAAUUUAUAUCCCACUACUAAGUCAACAAAUCAUUAAGUCUAUUCUUCUGACAAGAACCAUUACCUCAUUCUGAACCAAAUAAUGAUCUUUGCUAUUUAAUAUACUUCAUAUAGUCAGACUGCACUGAUCCUAGAUCCAAUAAUCUUGUCUUACCUAGUACGAACUGCUCAGGAAAUAAGCCACCCCGGCCAUGAUCAAAAGUCCUAUAUGAUGUCGUAAUGUGCCAAUAGGCUGCAAGCUCGAACAUGAUACAUAAGAAAAACAAACUCAAGAAGGGACUACUCAACUCACGUGACUAAUAUGAACUUUUCUCAGAAAAUGGGAAACAAAAACACAUAAAAACAGGUAUAGAAAACUAUACUCAACAUCACACUGUUGUGGCGUGCAACUCGAUCCAAACAACAUACCCAUUGCAAUAUGCCACACGAUCCACACAUAAAUUCACAUAAUGAGAUGUACAUCGAGCUAAAUUGCUCAUUACAAUAAAAUACCGAAUAUCGGUCACAAACACGCUAAGUGCAUAAUACCAUCCCUGGGGAGAAAUAUAGCGCCAUAAGCUAACAAACUCAAGCACAACUGAGGUGCUAUUUAUGUUCUGAAACUAAAGAGCCAUCCUGCUCAUCCGAGUUAUCCAAAAAUAAGCAAAAUUUAAAGUUGUUUUAUCAGUAGCGGCAGGAACUUAUGGUUGAGCCAAGACGGCAGCCGGAGUUUCUGAUCGUUGAUCACGGGCACCAAAAACUUCAACAGUUUGCGCGGCCUCUACGGGAGGAUCCACAACAACACCUUCUCCGGAGCUCGUCGUAGGAGAGUCGUCCAGGUGAAUCACUUUUGGGGGAGUCAUCUCAAACUCUACUCUCCGUCUCUUUGACGACCCCUCUUCUUCUCCAAUCGAUGGUGACUCGUUCGUAGGAUGGAUGAUACUAGUCGAGACCUCAUCUUGAAAAGCUAUCCUCGCUAAAGUAACUAAGGCCGCAGAUUCAACCAAAGCAGCCCUCGACGAGGGUCAUACAGUGGGUACGGCGGCAAGGCGAGCGGAUGCGGUCGGCUGGCGAAAAGCUAGUUGAGGGGCCCUUGCUCUCCGCACCCUCCCUGGCAAUGACGAAUGAUGUAAUAGAGGCUAAACAAUAAAAGAAAAAGAGAACUGUAGAUGAAGGCGUCAUCUCACCUGUAACAGGCCUGCGCCCGAACUUCUCUUGAAAGGUCGACCAUGUGUGAACUCAUGUGAGAACAAGGGAAAUCAUAUUAGAAUCCGAUUCAAGUUAGAAGUAGCAGAAGCUAGCCUUAAGAAUGCGGGUCGACAAAGGUCCAAGAUAACAAAAAAGAAGUCUCAAUCAAGAAUAAAAGAAAAAAGAAGUAAAUCCAAAGUGCAGAAGCAGAGAAAAAAUGUGGACUGCUCAAGACAUAAUUGAAGUCACAGGCUCUGCAUGUCCCAUCUUGAUCUGAAAAAGCUGAAGAAGAUUGAACCAACACCUGCAGCUAACAAGCAUCAAGAUUCAUAUCAGAGUCCGUAUGAAGAACCAACCAAGACUCAAGAUCAAGCUUCAGAAGACUCAUAGAUAGGAAUCUUGUAACUCGUAGCUGAUAGGCUUGGUUAGUCUUGUUCAUUUUUUAUUUUUGAUGUAAUAACGGGAUUGCGGACCGAAACCUCGACGGCACCUCGACCGGCUCUUCACCUCGGUAUAUUCCAUCAUCUCACUCACCUAUGAACUACACGUGGCCUGAUUCCUUUAUAGCCAAGGAUAUGUAGGCAGCUUAGAUACCAGGGCUCGGUCACAUUCCCCUUUUCCCUUAGUUGUGGUCUCCUUAAAUAAGGGNNNNNNNNNNNNNNNNNNNNNNNNNNNNNNNNNNNNNNNNNNNNNNNNNNNNNNNNNNNNNNNNNNNNNNNNNNNNNNNNNGAUUUUUCAUAUUUUAGCAACGUAAAUAUUUAAUUUAGGCUUAAUAUAGCUAUUUCAACUCAUUUUUACUUUUUUACUUUAUUUUAUUUACAUGAAAACAAAAAUUACAAAAAAUAGUUUCAUUAAUAUUUUGUAGUCAUUUUUAACCUUGAAAAAUACCAAAAAUAAUUUUGUUUAAUGGUCAGUCUUAUUUUAAUAGUUAUUUUACUUAAGUAGGAUUAAUUAAUAAAUGAGGUCAUAUUUUAGCCACGUUCGCGGAAAAAGAAUAAAACUUGGGCUCGAGCAACCCAUUUUUUAAGCCUAAUUUUGGACCUACCCAUAAUUCCCAAACCCAUAAUUCCUAGGCCCCAAACGCCUAACCUAAUCCCUACCCCUAUAUAAUAGUACCUAAUCUCUAAAUUGAGAGAGACCCUAGACACUGAUCCGUCGCUUCUCUAAAAAGAUCAAAGAAAAAAAGCCAAAAAAUUACAGAGACAAAAAGGCUGACCUAGAGCUAACACUAAGAAAGAACGAACCAAAAGAAAAAUCAAAAGAACAUCAUUCUCAUUUGGAGACGUUAUUGAUUUGUAAAGAAACACACAAAAAGGAGCUGAAAAACGGAAAUCGAAAAUGAAACAGAGGCAAGAAUAAGAGGACCUUCUUCACGUUUUUUCCACUCAAUUUCACCCUCAUUUUCUUCCAUACAAAAUCACACAAACACCAUAAAAAGCUGCUAGUCAUUUUCUCACAGAGAACCUCCCAAAAUGUCAUUUAGAUCUAUAACCAAAAAUCACUCAAAAACUCAUGAAUUAAGUUUCAUCCUUUAGCCGUGAAAAUGUUCCUUAAAUCUAGCGUUUAACAUCUUUCUUACUUCAUGAAACUACCACUAAAAUGCUACCAGAACUAUCACUAGAGUGAAGGGUGACGAAAAGCAAUCGAGUUCCAGUGGGCGGGUUUUGAAUUUUAGCGCGACGAGUGGACUUCGCUGGAACUCUAGCUGAUGGUUCGAGGUUUUCGCGAUUCGAAGGCCCUGUUGAAAGUUGACUGAUCAUUGUGUUGCUGUAAUUUAAAAUUCACAAUCAUCUAUACAAUUGUUUUAAAGUGAUAAUACUAUCCAAAAAGAAGUGGAUGGCUCUUUAGAUAAGUGAUAAAACAAUUUUGCUUAUUGCAAAAGUUUAUGAUUGAAAUUAAAUUACUUGCAGUUGGUAGAUUCUGCAAUGACUAUAUAAUACUAUCCAAAAAGCAGGGAAAAUAUAAAGUUCAUAUUAAAAUUAAAGUUAAAAUUAAAUUUAAUCUUUUAACCAAUUUCUAAAGAUAUCAUGUUUUAGUUUCCAUGUGUAUCUAUCAUCAGUUCUCAUUUUAAUAGGAACUUUUUAAAAUUAAGUCCAAAUUCAUAAAAUAAAUAUUUAAAAUAAAUUUUAGAAUUUUUGAAAUAUUUUUAAGAGAUAUAUUUUACAAAAUACUCGGUUCAUUUUUCAUUGCCUUUUCUAGACCAAAUGCUAGAUAGACUUGCUGGGCAUUCCUACUAUUGCUUUUUGGAUGGGUACUCAGGCUACAACCAGAUUAUGAUUGCACCAAAGGACCAGGAGAAAACCACCUUCACAUAUCCGUAUGGCACCUUUACAUUUUCACGGAUGCCAUUUGGUUUGUCCAAUGCACCGGCUACCUUUCAGCGGUGUAUGAUGGCUAUAUUUACGGACAUGGUGGAAGAUUUUUUGGAAGUGUUCAUAGAUGAUUUUAGUGUUUUGGGUGACUCUUUUGAAAAAUAUUUGGGUAAUCUUAACAAAGUGUUGGCUCGAUGUGAAGAGACAAAUCUAGUGCUUAAUUGGGAAAAGUGCCACUUUAUGGUUGAUGAGGGCAUUGUUCUCGGCCAUAAGAUCUCAAAGAACGGUAUCAAAGUGGACAAAGCGAAGAUUGAAGUGAUUUCAAAACUCCAUCCUCCUACUUCCGUUAAAGGAGUGAGGAGCUUUCUUGGGCAUGCUGGGUUCUACCAAAGGUUCAUCAAGGACUUCUCCAAGGUGGUGAAUCCUUUAUGCAAAUUAUUGGAAAAGAAUACAAAGUUUUUGUUUAAUGAUGAGUGCAUGACAACUUUUGAGCUUCUCAAGUAUAGAUUGACUACCACUCCCAUCAUCACCGCACCUAAUUGGAUAUUGCCAUUUGAGCUCAUGUGUGAUGCUAGUGAUGUUGCGGUAGGAGCGGUCUUGGGGCAAAGGGUGAAAAAGAUGUUUCAUCCGGUGUACUAUGCAAGCAAAACUAUGAAUGAUACCCAGGUUAAUUAUACAGUGACGAAGAAAGAGUUGUUAGUAAUUGUGUUUGCAAUGGAAAAGUUUAGGCCUUAUCUCAUGGGUGCCAAAGUGAUUAUUCAUACUAAUCACGCGACACUCCGUUACUUGAUGACCAAAAAGGACUCUAAAGCUAGAUUGAUGAGAUGGGUUUUGUUGCUUCAAGAAUUUGACCUAGAGAUUGUUGAUUGGAAAGGAAGUGAAAAUCAAGUAGCGGACCACUUGUCCCACUUGGAAGAGGAGGGGAGACCCAAAGAUGGUCUCGAAAUUAAUGAUGCAUUCCCUGAUGAAUAACUCCUCUUAGUGUCUUUGAAUAGUAUGCCUUGGUUCACCGAUGUGGCCAAUUUUCUUGUGAUCGCCAUUGUUCCGAGUGAGCUCUCUUCUAACCAAAGGAAUAAGCUUAAACGGGAUGCUUGGAUUAUUACUGGGAUGAGCUUUUUCAAGAUUUGUAAUGAUGGUGUGAUCCGGAGAUGUGUUCUGGAAGAGGAGCAAAUGAGUAUUUUUUAUGCUUGCCAUUUCUCUCCCUACGCGGUCAUCAUGGUGGGGCGGGAACUGCUUCAAAGGUUCUUAGUUGUAGUUUUUAUUGGCCUAAUCUGUAUAAAGAUGCUGGUGAGCUUGUCAAGAGAUGUGAUGAGUGUCAGAGAGCGGGUGGAAUUUCCAAGAAGGAUGAAAUGCCUCUCACAACUAUUCUUAAGGUUGUCAUUUUUGACGUGUGGGGCAUAGACUUCAUGGGGCCUUUUGUGAGUUCAUGUGGAAACACUUAUAUUUUGGUGGCUAUUGAUUAUGUUUCCAAAUGGGUUGAGUCCGUGUCUUUGCCCAACAACGAAGCCCGGAGUGUGGUGGUGUUUCUUAAGAAGAAUAUCUUUACACGGUUUGGCACUCCUCGGGCAAUCAUCAGUGAUGGGGGUUCUCAUUUCUGCAAUAGUGCAUUUGACACUUUGCUUGCAAAGUAUGGUGUCAAUCACAAGGUAUCAAUCCCUUAUCAUCCUCAGGCUAGUGGACAAGUUGAGGUCUCUAACAGGGAGAUAAAGAGUAUAUUGUCAAAUAUUGUCAAUGCAAAUAGGACUGAUUGGUCAAGGAAAUUGGAUGAUGCUUUGUGGGCUUAUAGGACUGCUUAUAAGACUCCAAUUGGUAUGUCUCCAUACCGAUUGGUAUUUGGGAAAGCAUGCUAUCUUCUGGUUGAGUUAGAGCACAAGGUAAUGUGGGCGCUGAAGAAGUUAAAUCUUAAGUGGGAUGUUGCAACAAAUCUCCGGGAAUGAACUUGAUGAGUUUAGGUUUUGUGCCUAUUGCAGCUCGUCCUUGUAUAAGGACAAGAUGGAGUACUUACAUGAUAAAUAUGCCCGGAGCAAGGAAUUCAAGGAGGAUGACUUGGUUCUCUUAUUCAACUCUCGAUUACGAGUUUCUGAGAAAGCUCAAGUCAAAAUAGAGUGACCCUUUUGAAGUGGUACAUGUAACUAUAUUUGGUGCUCUUGAUUUGAAGAAUAAAAAUGGUGAAUUUUUAGAGUUAAUGUGCACCGAGUCAAACAGUGGGAAAAUUUGAUGACAGUCAUGUGGUGGCCUUGAUCAACUUCAAAUGAUGAUGGUAACAUGUGUCGUGCCGCGACGUUAAAUAAGGCACUUCUUGGGAGGCAAUCCAUGUGUUUUUUCUUCCUUUUGAUUUUCAUCUUAGUGUAGGAUUUGUUUUAGACUAACUGGUUGUGAGAUUUAUGUAGGAAAAUUUGAUGGAGUGCAGGACUAAUACUAGAAAAUUUGGCUAAGUAUGCUAUUAGACCGUUGACCGUGCUCAAAAUUCUGUGAUCAGCUGAAGGUUUUUCGUGGGGGCAGGAUUAUGUAGCGGACGCGAACUUGAAAAUUCCAAAAUGUGACCUCUCUGAAGUUUCAACCACAUCUGCAGUGGAAUUUUCGCGGUCAGAGGACCUUGUUCCGCGGCCGUAGCCCCUUUUUUGCUCUCAGUGGUAGUGUUGAUCUUGCAACUCUUUAAAACAGCAAAAAUCGCGAUCGCGCCAGGUAGGUUGGUGUGGGCCCUCAAGAUUUUAGUAUAAAUAGAGGGCCCCUGCUUUUACCUUUUUUGCACCUUUCACUCUUAAACGAAAUAGCCUACUGUUCAUCAGCCCCAAAUCUGAUCCCAAUAGCAUAGCACUAAUCAGAAGUUAAUUUCCAACACACCUCAAAUAACUGGUAUGUUCAAAUCAUAGAAUCGUUUUUGUAUUUUUGGCUUUUCUUUUCUCUUAGUUGUAACUUUUUUUUAAUUAGGGUUUGAUUAAUCACCAUAAUAUAGGCAUUGAAGUUAAAAAUUCAUGUGGGUACUUGUUGUGUAUGCCUAAUGAGGGGUAGGGUUAUUCAUUUCAUCACCUAAUUGCUUAAUUUGUAUGCUAAGUGAAAACCCUAGAGUGCCCGUUCAUUUUGAAUUCCGCGGCCGCGGCCAUAAUUUUGCGGUCAACGUUCAUCUAAAAUCCUGAGUAAAAAUGGUUUGUCUUCCAUGGUCAACGGUGAAAAUUCCGCUGUCAGCGGCCUGCUUUACGUGGCCAAGCUUCUUUUUUCGCAGAUCGCAGAUGUUAAGUUUAGAGAAUUGCCAAGUUGGGUUCGCGACCACAUUCGUUUUUCCACAAACAGCGGUGCAGUUUUCGCGGUCGCGCCCAAAAUUUCGCUCUCAGUGGUACCUCAGAUUCAGAGAUUGAGUAGUCUGAUUCUCAACAUUUUGCGGAUGGGGUGCUUUUUUCGCGGUUGCCUUUACGCGGCCAAGCCUCUUUUUCCGCGGUCAGGAGAUCCUGAUUCUAAGAGGCAGUAUAUGCAUGUCCUCUGCUAUUGCUUUAUUUCCAUGUGCAAUGUUUUAGCUUCAACUGCAAUGCUUAACCAUAUGAUUGAUACAUUGUUCUGACUUUGUUUCAUGGCUUAUUCUCUGCAGACAAUAGUCCGAUCUAGAGGUGCCGGUGAUACAUAAAAAGGGAGAGUUGAAUCCUCCUGAGGUAGGGGAAGAGGAGGACAAGGAAGGACCAAAUUACCACUAGCGGUCCAGAUACCUAUAGGAAAGCUGUAGAAAACCAUCAAAGUUGCGGAUAGAGUCUCAUCCCAUUUUGAGGGUAGUGAAUAUGUCCCUUCCCGGGAAGCUUCGGAAGGAGACUCAGUGCCAACCCAUAUUCCUGCAGACUUCCAAGGGAAAUUCCAAUUGAAAGACGAGCCUACACCCCCUACUUCUCCUGCUUCUUCUGAGUCGUCUAAUGGCUCAGAGAAAAGUAGUGAGUCUUCAGCAUCAGCCUCUCCUCCAGCUAUACCUUUGGCCUCACCAGCAAACACUAUUGAUGUAGAUGCUGAGAUCCCUGAUGACGGGAGGGGUGGUGACACCCAGACAGGAGGAUUGGCAAGAUCAAGGAACCCCGUGGUAUGGCAAGAACAUUUUGUUAGUGAGAAAGCCUACCGCAAGUUUCAGGAGUGGUGGCCUCAAAGGUCACUUACACAUGAAAGGGUUUUAUUGAGCGAGAAUUGCUACCUCACAACCCGAAUGUCAAGAGGCACUUCAAUGAGAGAGUGGGGUGGAAGUUCUUCACCAGCAACUUACCAGAUGCUAAUGAACACUUGGUCAAGGAAUUUUACACUAAUGUUGCCCACAUAAAAAAGGGCACAUUUUUUACCAAAGUUCGGAACAAGAAGAUUAAGUUUGAUGGAAAGAACUUAAAUGAUUAUGCUGGAUUCAAUGAUGAGGAUGAGUCCCUGUAUCUGGGAAAGGUGGCCAUGGAUGAGUUAGCCCGCCCGUGGCUUGCAUCAAUGAUUGCUCUUCCGGGGACUACUCUAGUUUGGCUGACACCUGGGGUCCCGAUAUAUAGGAACACUUUGAGCUUCGAGGUGAAGGGCUGGGAAACUUUUGUUUGUAGCCGGUUAGACCCCACUACGCAUGAUAGUGAUAUGCCGGUAUCUCGAGCUAUUAUUAUGGGGGAUAUCAUGGAAGGGUACCCGAUCAAUGUCAGGAAUAUUAUGGCCAGGGUGAUCACCAGAGUGGUUGGAUAAGAUGAUAGCUCAUACCCUUUCCUGAACUUCCUUAUGAUGUACCUAGAGGAUCAAGAAGUGGAAGGAAGAGACUUUGAUACUAAGGUGAAACCAAAGAGGCCAUUCUCCUAGUACAGCCUUCAGGGUUCGGACAACCCCAAGCCCAAGGGCAAAGCCUCCACUUCCACUGGCCAGUCUAAAGAGCCAGGGGUGGUGGCCACUGGUUCCGAGCCUUUCACUGCCCUGCCACAUCCUCCCUUCGGACCAUCUACUUCUAUGCCUUAUUCGGUGCCUUCUUCAUCAGCAUACCCUCUAACUACACUGAGGGUUAAUCAGACUCUCUCUCCAGCAUCAACAAUUGGAUGCAGGCAGCUACAUUAAAGUUGUUUGUCCUAUCCAGCACAGUGGCAGCUCAGUCAGCUCCGGCACAGCCUCAGGUUCCUGCUUCAGUGGAGGAAUCACUAAAGAAGCUUUUGGAGAACCAGAAGAAGCUCUUGGACAACCUGAAGUUGAUCAUGGACACUUUGGAAACAUGGGGAAAGCAAUCAUGGACCUGAGCAAACACACGAAGAAAAUGAAGAAGACUCGGGCCUCGAAGAAGUCAGUAAAGAUGCUGAGGAAUGUGGUUGAAAAGAUUAGAUCAGUUGGAGACAUCCCAUUGGACCUACUAUUGGAGGAGCCAGUUCCAGUAGCUUAGGUAGCACAGGAACCAGAGCACAAGGCUAAUAGAGAGCCCAUGAGGAGAGGGGUGAUCCCCCAGACUGAGGAUUUGGAGAUUGAGCUGGAGGACCCAGAGGGAGGUGUCUCAGGCCAGCCACAGGACCCAGCUAGUGAUCCCAUGUAGGCAGAGGCAUCAUAGGGAGUUUCUAUUUACUCUCUACCUUUCCCCUAUUCUAUUUUUGUUGAUAGCAUUGAGGACAAUGCUACUUUUUAUUUGGGGGGGGGGGGUAGCCCUAUUUUGAUGUUGAUGAUGAUUUGGAUAUUGGUUUGUAAUAACUUUGAUACUAUUUCUUUUCUUUAUUUUUUUUACUUAUCGUACUUUAUUUUUGUACUUUUGGUAUGUAUAUAAAGUUACCUUUCCAUGUAUAUAUUUAUUCCCCUUUUAUGUAUAUUCGUCUCAAUCCCCUAUUGUACAUAUUCAGUUUACUCUCCGUAUUUUACUUUAUAACUUCUUUUUCAAUUUUCUUUAAUAGCAUAGCUUCUUAUUUCAGAUAGUAGUUUCUUUUUUUCAAUUUGUAGCUUCUUACUUUUACAAGUUUUCGUGAUCAAUAAGCCUUUGGUUUUCUUAAUGCCAUGGUUCUUUCCAAAGGUGGAAUUUGUGUGAACCGGGUGGCUCUUCCCGAUGAUGGAUGACAUGAAAACCUUUUUAAGGGUUUGAGUCUGUUUUCUUUAAGUUUUUGUGUAAAUAGUAGUAAUGAAUAAAAGUAUCUCAGGCAAAGCUUCACUUGGGCCUAGCAUAUUUACCUUUGACCUUAUGGUUAGAAACAAAUUGAUUUGCAAAGAAUGGUGCUAGUUUUGACCUUUAGACUCUUGUGUUGGCUAAACAAUCAUCGAAUGGUUCUCUGGAGCUAUUUGUCUUGCUCAACCUUAUCUAGGGUGGUUGUGGUCCCUCGACUCUAUUCUCUUUAGCAAUCUAACAGCUUGUGAGGUGGGGUAUUGAUUUACAAGUCCAAGUCCCGUGCCAUAAGUCUAGNNNNNNNNNNNNNNNNNNNNNNNNNNNNNNNNNNNNNNNNNNNNNNNNNNNNNNNNNNNNNNNNNNNNNNNNNNNNNNNNNNNNNNNNNNNNNNNNNNNNNNNNNNNNNNNNNNNNNNNNNNNNNNNNNNNNNNNNNNNNNNNNNNNNNNNNNNNNNNNNNNNNNNNNNNNNNNNNNNNNNNNNNNNNNNNNNNNNNNNNNNNNNNNNNNNNNNNNNNNNNNNNNNNNNNNNNNNNNNNNNNNNNNNNNNNNNNNNNNNNNNNNNNNNNNNNNNNNNNNNNNNNNNNNNNNNNNNNNNNNNNNNNNNNNNNNNNNNNNNNNNNNNNNNNNNNNNNNNNNNNNNNNNNNNNNNNNNNNNNNNNNNNNNNNNNNNNNNNNNNNNNNNNNNNNNNNNNNNNNNCAUAACCCACCAAAUAUGAUAUCCCUAGUCAACCUCAUUGAGUCGAAGCCCUUGUUCUUUCAAUAACCAUGAUACAAGCCUUUAUCCGUUCUAAAAUGACCAUCUCUUGGCAUCCGAUCUUUCCUUAGCACAAUUGGCAAAGCAUAAGUUUGGGGGGAGGGGGAGAGACGAGGAAUGCAAAAGUGAUAAAAGGUACAAAAUGAGGAAAAGUGAAGGCAAAAGAAAAAGAAAGCAAAGCCAAAAAGUCAAAAAGAAAGUGAAUAAUAUAGAAAAAUGAAGGGAUUCAAUAAAAGCAUUGAUGAAAGGCUUGGAAUUAUUAGAAAGGAGAAAAAUGAUUGUCAUGAACAAGAAAGAGUAACAGUGUAUCUCUCUAGUCCCCUAAGGAAGAAGGAAAUGACUCAAUGAGUCAAAAAAGUGUGAGUCGAAAUGAGAAAAUGAAGUGCUUAAGGAAAGAUGAAACCUUCAUAGACCGAUAUACCCUACCUUGAGCCAAAAGCCUUCAUUACAUUCCCGCAAAAACCCUCUAUGAUUUUGAGUUGAGUGAGCUUACAUUAGUGGUGAUUCACAUAAGGGGCAAGCUUAUGGUACUUAGAGCCGGAUUUGUGAUCUUCCUUUGAGAGAGAUGAGUGUACUCUUCCACAAUCCUUGUUCUAAGUGCUAUAAUCUGAAGUGAGAUUUUCUUAUGGAGAGUGAAGGAGAAAGAGUUUGGGUUCCUCAACGACCUACGUAGUAGAGCGAGCUUCCUUGAUAAGUUAAGCCAACACUUGAUGCUCUUGUGUCGCACUAGAGCCAUGGUGCUAAAAAGUUUGUAUGUUGUUUAUAAUACAUUUGUGUUGAGGGUAAUUGUUAGUCCCAAUUGAUGCUUGAUAAAGUUACUUUAGAACAACUGAAAUUUUCCUUUCUUUUUUCUUGAGGAGGUGGGAAUUAUUUUUUUUGCUUGAGGACAAUCAAAAUCUUAAGUUUGGGGGAGUUGAUAACUAUGGAUUCUAGCCUAUCUUAUGCUCUCCUUUGCUUAGGUUUUGGAUAAAAAAUUUAUAAAAGUAUUCCUGAAAACUGAAUUAUUGUGCUUGUUUGCAGGGUUUGGUAAAAAUGAGGCAAGAAAGCCAUAACCAACUCAUGAGGGAGUUAAAUCUACACAAGUUCAAAGCUGAGAUAAAAGCACUGACCGCAAAGGAAAAGAGCGGCAGCGGAAGGUCCACCGUUGAGGCAGCCACAAUUACCCGGUCCGUGGAAUUGAGAUUCAGAGAAGGUGUUUUGGAUGCAAACAGAGACCGCUAACAACGAUGAAAUAGCGCGGUAGCGAAAUACCUGACGUGGCCGUAUUGCAAAUUCCGCUGAGAGCAUCGAUCGAGAUUCAGAGACCCUGCAAAGUGAGCCUAACUGAGGAGUGCAUUCCGCGUCCAAAUUGCGCAGCCGUGGUUGAUGCUAAUGAUGAGGUGACAACUUUUAUGCUCCCAGCGAAAUCAAGUCCAGACCAAGCACAAAAGAGAAGAAACGUGGUCUGUGUCUGCUUUUUUACGGUCGCGGAAGUCCAAGCGCUGACGCGCUCAAUAUUGCACUGACAGUGGAACCUCCGUAGGG
rnacentral:lncRNA from 1 species